rnacentral:misc_RNA from 1 species
GAUGAAGAACGUAGCGAAAUGCGAUAAGUAAUGUGAAUUGCAGAAUUCAGUGAAUCAUCGAAUCUUUGAACGCACCUUGCGCCCUUUGGCCAUUCCGAAGGGCAUGCCUGUUUGAGUAUCAUGAACACCUCAACUCUUUAUGGUUUUCCAUGAUGAGCUUGGACUCUGGGGGUUUUGCUGGCUCACAGUCGGCUCCUCUAAAAUGAAUCAGCUUACCAGUGUUUGGUGGGUAUCAUGGGUGUGAUAACUAUCUACGCUUGUGGUUUUUCCAUCAGGUAACCUUCAGCAGUGGAGGUUCGCUGGAGCUCAUAGAUGUCUCUCCUCAGUGAGGACAGCCCUUUGAAUGUUUGAUCUCAAAUCAGGUAGGACUACCCGCUGAACUUAAGCAUAUCAAUAAGCGGAGGA